UACUAUAACAUCACAGUUAAUAGACCUGCAGCCCGUCUGACUCGUUUUGAAGUGCUUCCUGUUUGCUGUUAAGUUUCACUUCGUGCUCGUCGUGUCGCACCUUCUGCUUCUCUCUAAGGAAUAAAUGAAGAGAAAGUUCCUCCCUCUGCCACCAGAGGGCGACACAUCCCCUCGUUUUGAAGUGCUUCCUGUUUGCUGUUAAGUUUCACUUCGUGCUCCUCGUGUCGCACCUUCUGCUUCUCUCUAAAGGUUUGUAACUCUUUGUGACUUUAGAGCUUUUAGAGACAACUCUUAUCAAUCAUUGCUCAGAGAAUAAGAACAACUCUUUGUGACUUUAGUUACUUCAGACUUUAGAGUAAAUUCAGAGACAGACUUUAACCCUCUUCCUGUUUUUACCUCAGCUGAACUUGUACACAAUAACUAUAAUUAUUAUUAUUAUUAUUAUCAAUCAUUACUCAGAUAAUAACUCCACACAGAGACCCUCUAUUUCAUCUGAUGACUUGCUGUCCAUACUACUGUGUGUGUGUGUGUGUG